CUCGCAUCCGGACCAGUGCUGGCUCACUUUGUUGAGCUCAUCCUCCAGGAUGCAAGGAUCCAGACCCAGCUGGGAGAAGCUGCCCUCUUUGACCGUCUUGAUGACUUGAUACAUCUCGGCGUAGUCGGAGGUGGUGAGCUGGAGAAUGCGAUGACUCCCCCGAAGCCCAGACCCAGGGCAAAGAACACCUGGGUGGCCGCCUCUCUCCACACUUGGGGCUCCAGCAUCUUCUCCAGCUACGAGAUGAAACGACGAGGCGAUCCCUUUAAUGACGGCAAGGCAGACGAUGAUCCAGGCAGCCAGAAGAGAUAAAGUCAUUUUCACGUUGAGGCCGCCGCUCUCUGCGAUGGUGCUGGUCGUGUUCAGGGUCUGCCGGUACCAGAAGUGCGUCCACCUUCAUCACUCGGAGGCAGUAUGAUACAAUCAUGCAGACACAAAUGAAGAGUAGUAAUAAUUCUUCAACUACUUGUGAAGAGACUCAUCCCCCAGGAAUAUGCAGUAAUCUGUCUGCACAUUCAUAUCAUGUGCCACCUACGGGUGAGUCGUUCUUUUAGGAACCUUAGUUUUACUAUCUAUUGUUUCACUGUGCAGCCCUUGGCAUCUUUUUACACUUGUUCAGCGUUUAAUAAGCAUGAUGUAUGAAGUUGACUCACCAUGAGCAAGACCUGGCUCCACUUCCCAACAUCCUACACCUCCCUCAACCAAAUCAUUCCAUCAUUCUAUUUGUGUGAACAUUUAUUGUUUUGUUUUGUUUUGUUUUAACAUGAGAAAAGCAGAGAUGAACCAGCAUACCGGAACAGACUGUUUUCGACCUUGAAGGUUCUACCACUCAUUGAUGACAAUAUGCAACAAACGCAACAGCCAUCGGUUUUCGAAGUGAUAGUCGAUGAUUUGGGAAGACAUUCAAGCGAUUUUCUUUUUAAAUUAACAAUGACAGGAGGGUGACACGUGUCAUAAAAAUCAAUAGUCCCUCAUUAAUAAUUCACUUGUCAUUCUGGUUAGAUUCUAGCUCCAGCAAGGUCAGAGGCACACACACAUCUACUUUAAUUUAGAACGUGUCUAUGGAAAGAAAAGACACAUUUGAACAAAAACUACACAUUCUGCUGAAAGCAUCCACCUUGAAAAGUGCCUUUGAAUAAAAUGUGAAACAAAAUAUAUCACCCCGAGGUGUUACAUCAACUUGAGUCCAAUCAUUUCAAGAUGAAGUUCAUUUUUUUUUCAAUAAAACCCAUGUUAAACUGACCAGAAACUCCCGUGACUGUGCUGCACCUACUAGCGCAGCAUCUAACUAACUCCUCAAAAUCACAACUAUACAAACAACACACUCACUUUCCCUUCAUAUAAAAUACAUUUACAAAAAAUGUUCAAAGGUUAAAUACAACCUUGAUGUAAUCCAUCAGGAAAUGACAUUUAAGAUUGUGCUGGGUGAUGACUAAAAAAAGACACAUUACGGCUUACCGGUCGUCUUUUGCAGAGGUCAGAAAUCUCCACGCAUCUGUAUGAAAGUGCCAAAAGAGAGGAACGUGGCUAGCGC